CCUACGGGUGGCAGCAGUGGGGAAUCUUCCGCAAUGGGCGAAAGCCUGACGGAGCAACGCCGCGUGAUCGAAUGAAGGCCUUCGGGUUGUAAAGAUCUGUUGUUAGAGAAGAAAGUGCGUGAGAGUAACUGUUCACGUUUCGACGGUAUCUAACCAGAAAGCCACGGCUAACUACGUGCCAGCAGCCGCGGUAAUACGUAGGUGGCAAGCGUUAUCCGGAUUUAUUGGGCGUAAAGGGAACGCAGGCGGUCUUUUAAGUCUGAUGUGAAAGCCUUCGGCUUAACCGGAGUAGUGCAUUGGAAACUGGGAGACUUGAGUGCAGAAGAGGAGAGUGGAACUCCAUGUGUAGCGGUGAAAUGCGUAGAUAUAUGGAAGAACACCAGUGGCGAAAGCGGCUCUCUGGUCUGUAACUGACGCUGAGGUUCGAAAGCGUGGGUAGCAAACAGGAUUAGAUACCCGAGUAGUC
rnacentral:rRNA from 1 species